CCGUGGGUCCUGUGCUUGGCUGGGUGGUUUUCCCAGACUCAGUCUACCGUAUAGGCCACUGGCACUCCCUUCUCUUCCUGGAGCUCUCUCUGCCUUGUACGCACCUGCAUUCAAAAGGUGGCCAUGGGCUGUCUGUGCUCUGGUCGUUGAUAAUGCAGGGAGAGGAAUUGUGGAAAGCAAUUUCCCGUGUUUGGAGGGUCCACACCUGUCCCUUUCAAAUGCUGGCGCUUUCACACACUCCUGCUUCUCUCCAGCCCGUGCUUUCCAGCCCUCAGGCACUGGGGGCUGCUGUGUGACAGGCAGUGACAAGAGACUUCCGAGCUUGGCCUGUCUCAGCUUGGCCUCCUGUUAGCAGAGCCAGGCUACAUCUGUGUCAGGUUUAGAUACUUUACGGGUGUAAGGAACCAGGAUGAAUUAUACGUAAUGAAUAAGCAGGAUGUUGGGUGGUGUAUAGUCGUUGCUGUAAGAUUUUCAAAGGGAAGCAGCUUGUUGGAGGUGGCGGACCUGGCCUUUGAAGGAGUGGGAUGUGAUAGGCCAUAGGAAGGUCUUGGGGGAAGGGAGGAACACGAGGACGAUUUGAGGCUGGGGUGAGCAUGAGCACCUGGGAGUCCGGUGUACAGGCAGUAAUGACAGUGCGGGGGACAGCUGCUGGGGUGGCGGUCCCCGCUCCUGCCACAGGGGUAGGGCCGAGUGGGAAGAGCUCCUGAGAGCGAGGUCUCCAGCCGUCUCUCUGCCAGUUACUACAUUUGCUCUGUCGCCAUGAGAAGGCCCAUUUUUUAAAGACUGUUCAUUUUGACUCUUCUCUGGGAGUUUUGAGAUUCCUUUUUCAGCCAGGUUUAGUGUGAAAAGUCCGCAGCUCAUGCCUGACUAAUUGGGGGCACUCUCACGCGUGUCAGCUUGAAGGAAGACGAGGUAACGUUGGAGAGUUAUCCCUGGUCCUGACCUCCUGCCCCGUGGCCUCCUCGUCACUCUGCGGUGCUGCCUUGGAGGAAGCCUCAGGGAUGGAAGCUCUGGCCUCUCAGGAUGGUGACCUGGGUCCCAGCUCCCCUGGAAGGGCCUCCUCAUGGUUGUUCUGGGGCUGUUCACGGAUGCUGGCGUAGCAGAGUGAAGAGGGGUGUUGCCGCCGAUCAUCACCAGACCUCCUUCUCCUGUUGCCUCAGCACAGUGCCACAGAGCACCGCGGACCCAGAAGUCUGCUUUCCUUCCAUCUGGACCAGGUCAUCCAGUGGCCUCCGUGUCCCCUUGUCUGCUCCUGGUGUAACUUUUUAGAAACAAGAGUUCCCAUUGGAGUCUUCUGUGCUGGCCAUCGUGUCCUCUAACCCACUUCAAUAAAUCUUGAAACUGC